rnacentral:rRNA from 1 species
UACGGAAGGUCCGGGCGUUAUCCGGAUUUAUUGGGUUUAAAGGGAGCGUAGGCCGGAGAUUAAGCGUGUUGUGAAAUGUAGAUGCUCAACCUCUGCACUGCAGCGCGAACUGGUUUCCUUGAGUACGCACAAAGUGGGCGGAAUUCGUGGUGUAGCGGUGAAAUGCUUAGAUAUCACGAAGAACUCCGAUUGCGAAGGCAGCUCACUGGAGCGCAACUGACGCUGAAGCUCGAAAGUGCGGGUAUCGAACAGG